rnacentral:lncRNA from 1 species
AAAGAAAAACUCAAGUGGCAGCAAUGGAAGCUGGAGGUACCACUCAGCACAUUGGUGCCUUUCUUGUGUCUCUGCCUUCGGGGGAAAAGAUAACUUUUCUUGAUACUCCGGGACAUGCUACUUUCUCAGCAAUGAGAGCAGAGGGGCUCAAGUCACUGACAUUGUCAUCUUGGUUGUAGCUGCAGAUAAUGGGGUGUAGAAUCUAUUCAGCAUGCCAAGGAUGCUCAAGUUCCUAUUGUCCUUGACAUAAAUAAAUGUGACAAAGCUGAGGCUGAUUCUGAGAAAGUGUAAAAAAAGCUAUUGGCUUAUGAUGUGCUGUGUGAAGAUUAUGGAGGUGAUGUUCAAACACUGCCUGUCUCUGCACUUGCAGGCGAUAAUCUAAUGGCUUUGGCAGAAGAACAACUGCAGAAAUGUUGGAAUUGAAAGCAGAGCCCCACUGGUCCAGUGUAAGGAACAGUAAUAGAGUCACAAAGGAAGAGGUCCUGUUACUACAGCUAUAAUUCAAAGAGGAAUUUUAAGAGAAGACUCUGUUCUGGUUGCUGGAAAAAGUUGGGCAAAAGUACACUUAAUGUUUGAUGAAAAUGGAAAAACAAUCUGUGAGCCCUAUCCCAGCAUGGCAGAGGGAAUUAUAGGCUGGAGAGACCUUCCUUCUGCAGGAGAUGAAAUUCUUGAAGUAGAACCUGAGCUAAGGGCAUGUGAAGUUUUGACUGGAGGAAGUAUGAACAAGAACAGGAGAAAAGUCAACAGGAUCUGAAAAUAAUAGAAGAAAAGUCAAAGGAACAUCAAGAAACACAUUGGAAAGCCCGUGAGAAGUAUGGCUGUGUGCAGUGGAAGGAGAGAUCAUUUCUAAAGUAUUUAGAAAGAAAAGAACAAACAUCCUUAAAGCCAAAAGAGAAAAUGGAAAGAGAUUCAAAUGUACUUCCCAGUGAUUAUUAAAAGUGAUGUUGAUGAUCUGUUGGGGCCAUUUUGAACAUUAUAGAUACCUAUGAUGCAUCACACGAGUGUGAACUAGAAUUAGUACAUUUUGGAGUGGGUGAUAUAAGUGCAAAUGAUGUUAACCUUGCUGAAAGAUUUGAUGGUGUUAUAUAUGGCUUUAAUGUGAAUACAGGCAAUGUUAUCCAACAGUCAACUGCAAAAAAGGAGUAAAAAUUAAACUUCACAAAAUAAUUUACCGUCUUGCUGGAGAUUUGCAAGAGGAAGUGAGCAGCAGAUUACCCUGCGCUGUGGAAGAGCACCCAGUAGGUGAAGCGUCUAUACUAGCUACCUUCUUUAUAACAGAAGGGAAGAAAAAAGUUCCUGUGGAUUGCUGCAGAGUCCAAAAGGGACAGUUAGAAAAAAAAAUUAAAUUAGCCUGUAAAGGACAUGUAAUUUGGAAGGGAUCAUUAACCUCACUGAAACACCAUAAAGAUGACGUUUCAAUUGUCAAAACUGGAAUGGAUUGUGGUAUCAAUUUAGAUGAAGAAAAUAUAGAAUUUAAGGUGGGAAAUAAAAUUGUUUGUUAUAAAGAAAAGCAAAUUUGAGCCAAGACUUUUUGGGAUCCAGGAUUUU